AUGGGGGUAGGAAAUUGCCCAGAACCUUGUGUAGACACAGCAUCAAAACAGAGCACCGUCAGCCUUCGAGUUUGUUGGGGCUUUAUCAACUACAUCCAAAGCAUGUCACUGAGCUGCAGACAGAGGGGAAAUACUUCUGGUAUGUGGCUAACUCAGCCAUCUGUCAGUCAGUUUAUAUUCUCACUCUUUGGCCUUUCCUGCUUUGCCCUACUUGAGCAGUGGUUUGUGUGGGAGAAGUUGGGCUUCUCUUUAUGCUUCCUGCUGGUCCGUGUUUCUGUUAUUCCAUGGUGACACAAGGAGCAAAUUGGACUAGGGUGUUGCAAAUUUUGCUGCUGUACUGGGAAACAGCUGUGGAGGAAAACUACAGAUCCAGUGACAGGAUCUGAGUUAUGCAGAAGUAUGACAACAGACAAGUCAGAGGCGAUGACAUGGGCAGUUGUUAGCUUACACUUUGCACCGAAAGCCAUGUAGAGUCCAAAUUAAAUCCCUGUUACUCUGCCUUUGUCUCAAGUCAGUGGAAUCAAUGAAUACAUGCAUUGCUCACACAGCUAUUGGCACUGUGAAUGGAGAGGGCAGGAGAGUCAGGGCCUGAAUGCCAGCCCAGCACAAGAGAAAGAGCUGACCCUGGAUCUGAGGAAAAGGUUCAGGAGAUGGAUGUGCUGUUCAGCAGAGGAUUCAGUAUGAGCUGGGUGAAGAGUAUUGAUGGCUAGAUACGGGCAGCAUAUUGCCCUAGGGGACACUUUUUUUCUUGUCUGUUGAAAAUAGCAUCAGUGCUGACUGCAGCUGAAGCCUCACUUCUUGUAAAUGACUUCAAUCAUAACAGAAUUAGUGUGACCACAGCCUCAGAGCGGGACGGCCCUGCUUCGCGUUCAACAAGCUCCUCCUCCUGAGCAUUCAGUAGCUCUCCACAGCUUAAAUAAGCAGCUUUCUGAACAUCUACAGGUCUAUUAAUUGGCUCUGCUCGUUAGCAAGUGCUUUACAGCUGCUGCAUUGUAUGUAAUUUAACCUACUCUGACAGUAAAGGUGUUUCAGUCUGAAAGGCGAGGAGGCCUCAAGCCCUUCGGCCUGUGGAGUCCCAGGAGCAGGGUUGGGUCCAGCAGGGCCCUGCUCAGAGCCCACCCUGCUGCUCUGGGGGACACAGGGUCCUGUGGAUGAUACAGCCAUGCUGCAAAUGGUAUUAUUUUAAAGCUGUCCCGUCCCCACUGUAAAUAUUGCAGCCUUUUCAAAAAUGGGGCUUUGCUGUGCUCCUCAGUAUGGCUCAAAUUCUCCCAUAGUCCUUUAACAGAUUGGCUGUUUACUUCACUUUUCGGCCGCAGUCAAAAGGUCAGAGGAAAGAGCUGGGCGAGAGGGGAAGGGACUGGAAUCACCACUCUUCAUGUACUGUUUAGCAGGAGGGAUUAAAAUCUCUUGUGUGUUUCUAUUGCUUUAGGGGCAGAGUACUGCGAAUUCCCUAUUUGACCUUGCUGGUGCUUUAAUAAAGCUGAGGAUGAGAGAUUUGACAGCUGAAAUUACUACAAAAAUCUUCAGGAGAUUCCUGCUGUGCUCUUCAGAUGUGACACCACCCUUAAAUCAGUGUACACAGGUGAACUGACAUUUUAGAGAGCCCUUCAUUUGCUCUUACAGAGGGAAAUUCAGAGUGACAUUGUGAACACACAUACUGUGGUUAGGAUUUCCUUGUUGCUUUGGAGCAACCUACAUAUACCUACUAGAAGGAGGAUCUGCCUGGCCACUGUAUUGUAUGCUGGGGAGAGAGAGAAAGAAAAGGAAAGGAAGGGGAAGAAAAAUAAGGCAGGUAAAGAUAAUGUAAUUUAAAAAUACAAGUCAGCUUUGUCUCCUCUUUACUUAAGAGACAUUUUAUAGAAUUCUGACCUUCUUGUCCUUAUUAAUAGUUUUGGUUAUAUUUUUUUCUGAGCUAUUCCGUAUUUGCAUUUCAUAUUAAAGACAAAAUGAAGAUACUUAGGCAUCUCAUGUGGGAGGAUAUGGCUUAUUUCUGCUAAACUUAUUCUAAAGCAAUAGAAGAGAGAGAGAAAGGAAAUAGGUUUGUUUCUGCCAGGAAGAAAAUGAAAUGGGCUCAACCCUUACGUUUUUCAUUCCAGGCCUCUCAGUGGAAGCCCCUUCCUGUAUAUCUAGAUCUAGUUUUGCUUGGUUUUACCAGAGGUAGCAGAGAACCUCCUAAAUUAUUACAUUGUGCUUGUUCUACCACUAAUGCUGUCAUGUGGACAUUCUUCUGUGUAGCAGGGCAAGAGCCAUUAAUUUGGGGCCUGAAGGGUUAAAAGAUAUUAGUGGGGAGCUGGAAAAAAAAGAAUAUGGGAAAGGGAUAAAAAUCUCUGCUGACAGCAAACCAGUUUGGCAGCCUUCACCCUACAAAGACUUUUUUUUCCAAUUUAAGAGUGCUAUUCACAUUCAGGCAGCAGCUUUGCUCCUGUCUUCUAUCUGCUGCAUAGAACAGCAUUCACUACUUCCCAAAUUUAUAUCCUUGCAGCUUCUGUGGGAAAAUGCAUCAUUUGGCAACUAAUUCCAGCUUUAGAAUUAAGCAGAAAUGCUGUCUGCUGUUUUAGGACUGAUCCAAAGAGCAUUUUUAGGGAAACAACACACCAGAAACUCACAUGAUACUGCCUGUGUGUUCUUUUUCCCUUUUUUCACAAUGUCCAGUCCACUGAGUGAUCCUUAGUCAUGUCUGAGGAGGAAACCUACUUAUUCCAAAGAAACAUCAAUGAAGUAAGAGCUGAUUUGGUAAAUAUUAAACAAAUGAUUCGGUAAGGAUCACUACAGAACAUACACUCAGUGUUGCCUCAAAGUAGUGGCUUAAUCUUUAAAAGGAAUGUGAAUUACAGCAGGGGGAGAGACCUUUUAUCUCCCAGACUCUGAAGAUUACUUCAUUUACUGCUUGCAGUUCCUGUAAGCACUGUAGAUCUGAGCUGAUAGAGUACAUUUCUGUGAAAGACUCUGUGCCUUCUUUGAAGGGAUUUGGUUCAGCUGGUUUUCUAAGUCAGCUUUUCAUGGAUUUCAGGAAAUGCUCGAGGGAGGGGAGAAUCACUUUCUCAUAAUGCAGGUGACAUUUUGCCAAAUCAGGCAUCUCAAGUCAUUCACAGUUGCAGUUCUGGAGGCACUGUUUCUGCAUUUCAUGAGCAGAUGGAAACAGAACAGUCUAAUGUCGUUUAGCUUUCUCUGAAUGCAGUUUAGCCACUAGAAAUUACAGCUGCAAAUGUAGAGGCUUAUGCUCUCUGGAUCCUGUCAUGGAGCUAAGUCAUAGACUCUUUUAACAUGUCAAAUUGUGCUCUGUAGAUCAGGAGGAAUUUAAGAUGAGAAACAUCUUUUUAGGUCUAAGGAUGUCUACACCUUUGUCCUUUUGUGUAUGCCAAUUUUCAAAGAGAACUAAGCUAUCCUUUCCCCAAUGCACCACAAUGAUACAGUGUUCACAGACUUUUAAAGUGUGUGAAGAGCAUUUCUGGAUAGUUUUAUUUUUCCCCACCGAGGUUCAUAGGGUUUGGUUAUGUCAGACAGCAACCUUUUCUAGCUUAGGGCUUUGUACCUUUCAACAGAAGUAAGUCAAACCAUAGUUGGUGCAGUUUGCUCAGCCAAAGGUUUGAUUUACUCUAUCAAAAACUAUGCAUCACUGCAGUCUCAAUACAUUGUCCCUGCUCUCAUGGAUUUAGGAGAGAGAUGGAUUCCUGGGCAGAUUCACCCUGAGUAUAUUUUCUACUGCUUGUACCUUUCUGUUGUAGGCUUUUGCAGGCAGGAAUCCCCUGCCUGCUGGACUAGCACUAAGACGAAUUUGAUAGGGCAAAGAAGCAGGACCACGUGGAGACCUGUCUGCAAUUACACACUCAGUUACACAAUUUGACUGUCAGCAGGAUAGGUGCCAGAGCCUUUAAACUAAAACCAGAGAUGCUGUUUUUUUUAAAAACUGUGACAAUAAAGUUUAUUAUGUUAAUAUCAUUAAAAAUAUUAUAAAAUAAUAAAAUAUUCUGCUUGGCAGAAAAAUUAUGCCAGGGUUUUAAAACCCCAGGUUUGUGCAAACAGUUUUUGUAAACAUAAGAAGUCAAGUGUUCAGGUUCCAUCACAAAAUACAGUAAAUUGCUACAAAAAUAAGUUUGCUCACUGUCAAACAUAUUUAAAAACCCAGGAAGCUGGAUUUCGUUACACAUCUCUAAUGGUUCC
rnacentral:lncRNA from 13 species